rnacentral:rRNA from 1 species
GACGAACGCUGGCGGCGUGCUUAACACAUGCAAGUCGAACGGUAAGGCCCUUCGGGGUACACGAGUGGCGAACGGGCGAGUAACACGUGGGUGAUCUGCCCUGCACUUCGGGAUAAGCCUGGGAAACUGGGGCUAAUACCGGAUAGGACUCCUGGCUUCAUGGUUGGGGGUGGAAAGCUUUUGCGGUGUGGGAUGGGCCCGCGGCCUAUCAGCUUGUUGGUGGGGUAAUGGCCUACCAAGGCGACGACGGGUAGCCGGCCUGAGAGGGUGACCGGUCACACUGGGACUGAGAUACGGCCCAGACGCCUACGGGAGGCAGCAGUGGGGAAUAUUGCACAAUGGGCGCAAGCCUGAUGCAGCGACGCCGCGUGAGGGAUGACGGCCUUCGGGUUGUAAACCUCUUUCAGCUAUGACGAAGCGCAAGUGACGGUAGUAGCAGAAGAAGGACCGGCCAACUACGUGCCAGCCGCCGCAGUAA